AUACGGAGGAUCCGAGCGUUAUCCGGAUUUAUUGGGUUUAAAGGGUGCGCAGGCGGCCAUUUAAGUCAGCGGUUAAAUCGUGGGGCUCAACCCCAUUCUGCCGUUGAUACUGGGUGGCUUGAUUGCGGUCGAGGUUGGCGGAAUUCGUUGUGUAGCGGUGAAAUGCAUAGAUAUGACGAAGAACACCGAUUGCGUAGGCAGCUGACCAGACCGCAAAUGACGCUCAUGCACGAAAGUGCGGGGAUCGAACAGGAUUAGAUACCCUGGUAGUCCGCACAGUAAACGAUGAAUACUUGUUUUCGGCGAUAUAAUGUCGGAGGCAAAGCGAAAGCGAUAAGUAUUCACCUGGGGAGUACGCCGGCAACGGUGAAACUCAAAUGAAUUGGCGGGG
rnacentral:rRNA from 1 species